UACGGAGGGUGCAAGCGUUAAUCGGAAUUACUGGGCGUAAAGCGUGCGCAGGCGGUUUGUUAAGUCCGUUGUGAAAUCCCCGAACUCAACUUGGGAAUUGCAAUGGAUACUGGCAGGCUGGAGUAUGGUAGAGGAAGGUGGAAUUCCCGGUGUAGCAGUGAAAUGCGUAGAGAUCGGGAGGAACACCAGUGGCGAAGGCGGCCUUCUGGACCAAUACUGACGCUCAUGCACGAAAGCGUGGGGAGCAAACAGG
rnacentral:rRNA from 1 species